UACGUAGGGGGCUAGCGUUGUCCGGAAUCAUUGGGCGUAAAGCGCGUGUAGGCGGCCCGGUAAGUCCGCUGUGAAAGUCGGGGGCUCAACCCUCGGAUGCCGGUGGAUACUGUCGGGCUCGAGUACGGAAGAGGCGAGUGGAAUUCCUGGUGUAGCGGUGAAAUGCGCAGAUAUCAGGAGGAACACCAAUUGCGAAGGCAGCUCGCUGGGACGUAACUGACGCUGAGGAGCGAAAGCGUGGGGAGCGAACAGG
rnacentral:rRNA from 1 species